AUGCCGUGGUGUGGACAAGCAGUAAUGUAUAGUUGGAAGCCUUCCCAAGCCUCCGCGAUGGACUCGUCAUUGUUUUGCUGGAAGCUGGAAAUCUUAUUUCGGAGGAU